GGAGGUUUGGCAGAGUGGUCGAAUGCGGCGGUCUUGAAAACCGUUGUACCGAAAGGUACCGGGGGUUCGAAUCCCUCAGCCUCCGCCA
rnacentral:tRNA from 1 species